AAUCAAGGUUCGCUUAAUCGCGAUCAAAAGGGAAUGUGAGUGAGAAUCUCCGACUGUCCCGCAGCUGUGAGUUCCUUUAUAAGUCCUAAACAGAGUCCACUGCCUCUUUGGGCGGGAAGGCGUUUGGGAAUGGAACAAAGUCAGAAGACCUGCCUUGAG
rnacentral:ncRNA from 1 species